GUGCUCGCUUUGGCAGUACAUAUACUAAAAUUGGAACAAUACAGAGAUUAGCAUGGCCUUUGUGCAAGGAUGACAUGCAAAUAUGUGAAGCAUUCCAUAUUUAA